rnacentral:rRNA from 1 species
AACACAUGCAAGUCGAGGGGAAACGACAUCGAAAGCUUGCUUUUGAUGGGCGUCGACCGGCGCACGGGUGAGUAACGCGUAUCCAACCUGCCCACCACUUGGGGAUAACCUUGCGAAAGUAAGACUAAUACCCAAUGACGUCUCUAGAAGACAUCUGAAAGAGAUUAAAGAUUUAUCGGUGAUGGAUGGGGAUGCGUCUGAUUAGCUUGUUGGCGGGGUAACGGCCCACCAAGGCAACGAUCAGUAGGGGUUCUGAGAGGAAGGUCCCCCACAUUGGAACUGAGACACGGUCCAAACUCCUACGGGAGGCAGCAGUGAGGAAUAUUGGUCAAUGGACGAGAGUCUGAACCAGCCAAGUAGCGUGCAGGAUGACGGCCCUAUGGGUUGUAAACUGCUUUUAUAAGGGAAUAAAGUGAGUCUCGUGAGACUUUUUGCAUGUACCUUAUGAAUAAGGACCGGCUAAUUCCGUGCCAGCAGCCGCGGUAAUACGGAAGGUCCGGGCGUUAUCCGGAUUUAUUGGGUUUAAAGGGAGCGUAGGCCGGAGAUUAAGCGUGUUGUGAAAUGUAGACGCUCAACGUCUGCACUGCAGCGCGAACUGGUUUCCUUGAGUACGCACAAAGUGGGCGGAAUUCGUGGUGUAGCGGUGAAAUGCUUAGAUAUCACGAAGAACUCCGAUUGCGAAGGCAGCUCACUGGAGCGCAACUGACGCUGAAGCUCGAAAGUGCGGGUAUCGAACAGGAUUAGAUACCCUGGUAGUCCGCACGGUAAACGAUGGAUGCCCGCUGUUGGUCUGAAUAGGUCAGCGGCC